rnacentral:rRNA from 1 species
UACGAAGGGGGCUAGCGUUGCUCGGAAUCACUGGGCGUAAAGCGCACGUAGGCGGCUUUUUAAGUCAGGGGUGAAAUCCUGGAGCUCAACUCCAGAACUGCCUUUGAUACUGAGAAGCUUGAGUCCGGGAGAGGAGAGUGGAAUUCCUGGUGUAGCGGUGAAAUGCGCAGAUAUCGUAAGGAAGACCAGUGGCGAAGGCGGCAUUCUGGACCACAACUGACACUGAGAGACGAAAGCCAGGGGAGCAAACGGG